rnacentral:rRNA from 1 species
CAGCCGCCGCGGUAAUACGUAGGGUGCGAGCGUUAAUCGGAUUUACUGGGCGUAAAGCGUGCGCAGGCGGCCCGUUAAGACAGGUGUGAAAUCCCUGGGCUCAACCUAGGAAUUGCGCUUGUGACUGGCGGGCUCGAGUACGGUAGAGGGGGGUGGAAUUCCUGGUGUAGCAGUGAAAUGCGUAGAGAUCAGGAGGAACACCGAUGGCGAAGGCAGCCCCCUGGGCCUGUACUGACGCUCAUGCACGAAAGCGUGGGGAGCAAACAGGAUUAGAUACCCUGGUAGUCCACGCCCUAAACGAUGGGUACUAGCCGUUUGGUGCGCGAGAGCGCUGAGUGGCGAAGCUAACGCGUGAAGUACCCCGCCUUGGGAGUACGGCCGCAAGGUUGAAACUUAAAGGAAUUGGCGGG